rnacentral:rRNA from 1 species
CAAGUCGAGCGAGAAAAGGGGGCAACCCCUGAGUACAGCGGCGUACGGGUGAGUAACACGUGGAUCAUCUACCUUUUAGUGGGGAAUAACUUUGGGAAACCGAAGCUAAUACCGCAUAAGCCUGUAAAGGGAAAGCAGCAAUGCGCUGGAAGAGGAGUCCGCGGCCGAUUAGCUAGUUGGUGAGGUAACGGCCCACCAAGGCGACGAUCGGUAGCCGGCCUGAGAGGGCACACGGCCACACUGGCACUGAAACACGGGCCAGACUCCUACGGGAGGCAGCAGUGGGGAAUCUUGCACAAUGGAGGAAACUCUGAUGCAGCGACGCCGCGUGAGCGAUGAAGCCCUUCGGGGUGUAAAGCUCUUUCGGCAGGAACGAUAAUGACGGUACCUGAAGAAGAAGCUGCGGCUAACUACGUGCCAGCAGCCGCGGUAAUACGUAGGCAGCAAGCGUUGUUCGGAAUUACUGGGCGUAAAGAGUGUGUAGGCGGUGCUCUAAGUUCGGUGUGAAAUCUCCCGGCUCAACUGGGAGGGUGCGCCGGAAACUGGAAUGCUUGAGCGUGGGAGAGGAAAGCGGAAUUCCUGGUGUAGCGGUGAAAUGCGUAGAUAUCAGGAGGAACACCUGCGGUGUAGACGGCUUUCUGGACCAUUGCUGACGCUGAGACACGAAAGCGUGGGUAGCAAACAGGAUUAGAUACCCUGGUAGUCCACGCCCUAAACGGUGCAUACUUGGUGUCGGCCAUUCAGUUGGUCGGUGCCGGAGCUAACGCGUUAAGUAUGCCGCCUGGGGAGUACGUUCGCAAG